rnacentral:rRNA from 1 species
UACAAAGGUCCCAAGCGUUGUUCGGAUUCAUUGGGCGUAAAGGGUGCGUAGGCGGCGCGGUAAGUCGGGUGUGAAAUCUCGGGGCUUAACUCCGAAACUGCAUUCGAUACUGCCGUGCUUGAGGACUGGAGAGGAGACUGGAAUUUACGGUGUAGCGGUGAAAUGCGUAGAUAUCGUAAGGAAGACCAGUGGCGAAGGCGGGUCUCUGGACAGUUCCUGACGCUGAGGCACGAAGGCCAGGGGAGCAAACGGG